rnacentral:tRNA from 1 species
GAGGGCAUAGCUCAAGUGGCAGAGUGCAUGGCUAGCAUGCAUGAGGUCCUGGGUUCAAUCCCAGUACCUCCU